rnacentral:lncRNA from 1 species
AUACAGAUAAAAUAUUUUACAAGAAGUUAAUAUACUUCAUAAUCGUUUGGAAAGUUUCAACAAUUGUGCAUUUGCAAUACCGAUGGCCAUUUUUAAAUAUGAAGUGUGUGGCAAAUGAUUUUAAACAAAACAAUAAAUCUAAAAAAGAAAGAAAGAUCAACACUAACAAUAAUUAUUACAAACACCAAAUAACAAUAUCAGAUCUUUUAAUUAUUAAAACUAUAAAUAAUACAAUGUAUUAAAAAUAAUAUCGUAUCAUUUAUCUGCAUAAAAAGUAUAAUUAUAUUAUGUUUCAAAAUUGUUUCUAUGAAAAUUGAUGUUUACAACCAUGUAAGCAUUUUACAUUAAACUAAGAACAAUUUUAAGUAUAAAUAAAUAAACCAAGAAUGACAUACAUGUAUUUAUACUAAUUUAACAACAAUUUUGUAAGAUGGUUUCCGACUGACUAUUUUUAAUCGAACUGAAAAAAAAAUAAGGGAGAAAUCUAACUCUGAAUUUGAUCUUUUCAUAGAGAAAAAAAAUACAACAGUUAAUUGUGUAGAUACUAGUCUUUUUCGAGGUUAAAACUAUCCGCGGACUAAAAUAUACCCCCACCUCUACGGAUCGAUCUAUACAAAACCUUUUAGGUAAUAUCUUCGACCUUUGGCAGACUAUAAAUGUGAGAACAGUUAUCCUCUUUACAUGCAUUUAUCAUAACUUUGUCCAGCUCUUGAGGUUGUGAUUUAGGUAUCAGGGGCGGAUGCAGGAAUUUUCGAAAGGGGGGUGCUAACCCAGGGCAAAGGGGGGGGGGGUGCAAAGGGGUGCAAAACAUAUGUCCCGAUACAAAUGCAUUGAUCGCAAAAAUUAAGGGGGGGGUGCGCACCCCCGGAACCCCCCCCCCCCUGGAUCCGCCACUGGGUAUCUACAUUUCUGUAUUCGUGAAUAUUUUUCUCUAUUUUUUUUUCGCCAUUAUUCUCCAUGCUUUAUUCCCCAACUCUAAUUCUCUGCACUUUAUAUUUCAGCGCCCCUUUUUUUCUCUUUUCUUUAUUUUUUGACUCAUUUUUGAACUUUUUUGUAAACCUCAACCAGAGUAGACGAAACCCCCUUACUUAUCUGUAACAAAUGACAAAGUUUCCUUAUUGACUGACAUUCUCCUGAAUUUAUUGCAUAAGAAUGUUUUUAUUUCUAUUUCUCUCUAAAAUUCAAACUAUCCUAAAUAAUUGAAGCAUAGACCUCUCUAUAUUAAACUUUUAGAAAAUAUUUAGUUUAAACAGUAAGAUAAUAUUAAUUAUAUCGCAUAGAACAUACCUAAUGUAACCAAGAUGCAGUCAUGUUUACGAGGGUCUGGAUGGGGUUUAAAGAGUAAAGAAUAACGUAGAGGAUAAAUGUAUUAACACUUCAUACGAAAUAAAAUACAGCCAAUAGUACACAUACAUGUACGUACAUGCGCCAACAGUAAGAUCUUUUACAAUACAAUUUCUUAUGUUUCAUAGAAGUGUAAAUAAAAUACAAUAAACAUGCUACCAAAUACGAGCGGGGAAUGAUAUUCUGUAAUGAACACAAAAUGUGAAACACAGCUUGUACAUGUACCAUGGAAGAAUUAUAGUGUCAAUAUAAAUAUGCAUGUUUCUAUGCAUGAAUAAUGUAAAAAUAAGAAGAAUUGCAUGGCAUGAUUGCCAAUGAAAGAACUCUUCACCAGAGACAAAAUGACAUAGUUUUCUACUAUAAUAGGUCACUAUAUGGCCUUCGACGAUGUGCAAACCCAUAUCACAUCUAGUAAUCUAUAAAAUCCGUAAUGGCAAAUGUAAAAUAAUUCAAACGCGAAAACUAACGACUUGAUUUAUGUACAAAACAAUGAACGAAAAACAAAUCUGAUAUACAGCAACAAGCGACAACUAACGAAUUACAGGCCUAACUCCUGACUAUCGACACGUACAUACAUAAUAGUAUGGAGGGUUAAUUAAACAUGUGUGUUGGUGCAAGACCAUCUCACUAAUGGGCUGACCUAAAGUAUUUACAAAAUAUAUGAUUGAUUUGUGUAUAUAGUCAACAGGUGUAUCUAAAUAAAAUUAAAUAACAUGUUUACCAUAAAUAUAUAUCUACAAAAAUGACAUUUACAUGAAACAUAAAAAAACACGUUGUUUCUUCACUAAGAAAUGCAAACAUUUGUUUUCAACACAUUAGAAAAACAUCAGCAACAACUACCUUUUUUGUAAAGAAAUUCUAUAAUUGUCGCUUGCUGAAUAAGGUAUGUUACAAGGAAUAAGAUAUUCUAAUUAUGUAAUUCUCUCACACUAAAUAUGCAUGAUUAAUUUGUUAAAAGAAAAACUAGAAAAACUAAAGAAAUCAUUAUUUUUUAAAAAAAAAAACCUUGUGUUUCCGGCAUUAAAUUGAAAUAUUUUUGAAAAAUAACUUGGGUUAAACUGACGUUCAUUAUCAAAUUACGGACAUCAUUUAAACCCAAGUGAGAAAUAAGCGCAAAUUAUCGAUAUAGAAAAAUCCUUGGAAAGGAUGUCAGGACAUCACGAGUUUGCUAGUGAAAAAAGUAAGCCUAUAAUUACUUUUGAAACUGUGUACUGGCUUUAGCUGAAAGACAGUGUUAUGACAUGGUUUCUAACUGACUUGAACACAAUUCUAGUUGAUAAUUGGGAAUGGGAGGCAGGUUGAAACAAGUUACUAUCUUCUACCCUUUUAGGUUUACUACCUUCAUAUAGUGCUAACAUUUGAUGGGACUUGCAUGUUUAUUACAAAACCUAAUGAUUUAAAUAACAAGAAUGUGUCCUCAGUACACGAAUGCCCCACUCGCACUAUCAUUUUCUAUGUUCAGUGGACCGUGAAAUUGGGGUAAAA